AGAGUUUGAUCCUGGCUCAGGAUGAACGCUAGCGACAGGCUUAACACAUGCAAGUCGAGGGGCAGCACGGUGUAGCAAUACACUGGUGGCGACCGGCGCACGGGUGAGUAACACGUGUGCAACCAACCCCGUACCGGGAGAUAACCCGCGGAAACGUGGACUAACAUCCCAUAAUACUGGAGGAUCGCAUGAUCUUUCAUUUAAAAUUCCGGUGGUACGGGACGGGCACGCGCGACAUUAGGUAGUUGGCGGGGUAACGGCCCACCAAGCCGACGAUGUCUAGGGGUUCUGAGAGGAAGGUCCCCCACACUGGAACUGAGACACGGUCCAGACUCCUACGGGAGGCAGCAGUGAGGAAUAUUGGUCAAUGGGCGAGAGCCUGAACCAGCCAAGUCGCGUGAGGGAAGAAUGGUCUAUGGCCUGUAAACCUCUUUUGUCAAGGAAGAAUACACGGCACGCGUGCUGUCUUGCCAGUACUUGACGAAUAAGCAUCGGCUAACUCCGUGCCAGCAGCCGCGGUAAUACGGGGGAUGCGAGCGUUAUCCGGAUUUAUUGGGUUUAAAGGGCGCGUAGGCGGGACGCCAAGUCAGCGGUAAAAGACUGCAGCUAAACUGUAGCACGCCGUUGAAACUGGCGCCCUCGAGACGAGACGAGGGAGGCGGAACAAGUGAAGUAGCGGUGAAAUGCUUAGAUAUCACUUGGAACCCCGAUAGCGAAGGCAGCUUCCCAGGCUCGAUCUGACGCUGAUGCGCGAGAGCGUGGGUAGCGAACAGGAUUAGAUACCCUGGUAGUCCACGCCGUAAACGAUGCUCACUGGAUCUUGGCGAUACACUGCCAGGGUUCAAGCGAAAGUAUUAAGUGAGCCACCUGGGGAGUACGUCGGCAACGAUGAAACUCAAAGGAAUUGACGGGGGCCCGCACAAGCGGAGGAACAUGUG
rnacentral:rRNA from 1 species